UUGCCUACGGGGGGCUGCAGUGAGGAAUUUUGCGCAAUGGGGGGAACCCUGACGCAGCAACGCCGCGUGGGUGAUGAAGGCCUUCGGGUCGUAAAGCCCUGUCGGGCGGGAAGAACGUCCCUUCGGGGAAUGACGGUACCGCCAGAGGAAGCACCGGCUAACUCCGUGCCAGCAGCCGCGGUAAUACGGAGGGUGCAAGCGUUAUUCGGAAUUACUGGGCGUAAAGGGCGUGCAGGCGGGAGAGCAAGUCUGAUGUGAAAGCCCGGGGCUUAACCCCGGAAGGGCAUUGGAAACUGCUUUUCUUGAGUUCUGGAGAGGAAGGGAGAAUUCCCGGUGUAGAGGUGAAAUUCGUAGAGAUCGGGAGGAACAUCAGUGGCGAAGGCGCCCUUCUGGACAGCAACUGACGCUGAGACGCGAAAGCGUGGGGAGCAAACAGGAUUAGAUACCCUAGUAGUC
rnacentral:rRNA from 1 species